CAGAGGAAGUAAAACAUAUUGAAAAUUCUACAAUUGGCCAGGCUUCUAAUCCAAAAUGGAUACAAGAAAGAUCACAGCGGAUUACUGCCUCAAAUUUUGGCAAAAUAUGUAAAAUGCGGGCAAAAACCUCGCCAUGUGGUGCAAUAAAAACGAUGCUGUAUGGAAAUUUUAGCGGCAAUAAUGCUACAAGAUAUGGAAGUGAAAGCGAGGCCCGAGCAAUUUUAGAAUUUGAAAAUGAAUUUAAUUUAAAAGUGUCUCGAUGUGGAAUUUUUAUAGGUGAACAAGAAUAUUAUUUGGCAGCGAGCCCUGAUGGUUGCAUUAAUGAACAUGAUUUGGUAGAAGUUAAAUGCCCAUUUAGCAUUGCCAACAUGACUCCAACCGAAGCAAUAUUAUCAAAAAAGAUCACAUUCGCUACAUUGGAAAAUAACCACCUACAUUUGAAAAAAAACCACAAUUAUUACUACCAAGUUCAGGGGCAGUUAGCUAUAGCUAACAAGCAAUCAUGCUAUUUUAUUAUUUGGAGCCCUCUUGGCAUGUUAGUUGAACAGAUUGGCCGUGACGAACAAUUUUGGGAGGAACAAAUGUUACCAAAAUUAAAAGCCUUCUACUUCAAUUUUUUAUUACCAGAAAUAGUUGACCCGCUUUAUCCAAAAGGGCUGCCUAUCAGAACUUAAAAUUCUUCCGUUGGCGAAAAACCUGUCAACUGAAUCGAUGCAGAAGCUAAUUAAUUUUUUUUUAUUUAUUUCCUAAUAUGUAAAAACCUUAAUAAAUAUGUAUAUACGU